CAUUAUUCCCGGACGUGAUCGGACGGAUUAAACUAGAUUUGAUAAAAACCAGUUACGUCCGGAAAUUUCAUCGUGAUUUUUGGGGAGAGUAGAUUUUGCCCUUCCGGCUAUGUUUCUCUCUACCAAAACAAAACGAAAGAGGAGAGAUACAGAAGAAAAGAAAGAGAGAUUCUCAAGUAUCAAACCUAAAAUCCAUCUCACUCUCUUCUUCACUUUCUAAACCUCCGUUAACAAACGCUUUUGUUUCUUGCUAAUCUAUUUAUUUGAAGCUCAACUUGGUUUACUUAUUUAAGUUGGUAGUCAACUUAGAGCUUCAGCUUGAUUUUGAUCUCCAGAACUCUGAUUCUGAAAACUUCAAACAAUGGAUUUGGUAUCAAGUUGUAAGGACAAGUUGGGAUAUUUUCGGGUUAAAGAGCUCAAGGAUGUUCUAACCCAUCUAGGUCUUGGAAAGCAAGGAAGAAAGCAGGACUUAAUGGACAGAAUUUUAGCUGCCAUUACAGAUGAUCAAGUUACCAAGUCUAAGAAGAACUCAAUCGGGAAAGAAGGGAUUGCCAAAAUAAUCGAGGACACUUACAGGAAAAUGCAGACUUCCGGGGCUACUGAUUUAGCCUCUAAAGGACAGAGUGAUUCAUCAUUUGACACAGCAAAGUUCAAGGAUGAAGUUGUUGACUCUCGUAAAAUAGAUAUAAAGGUUCAGUGUCCUUGUGGAAGCUCGUUGCAAACUGAGUCAAUGAUUCAGUGCGAGGAUCCACGAUGUCAAGUAUGGCAACAUAUUGGUUGUGUUGUUAUCCCAGAUAAACCCACGGAGGGUGUACCACCAAUUCCACCACAAUUUUUUUGUGAAAUAUGUCGUAUCAAUCGUGCUGACCCGUUUUGGCUGACUGUUACAUAUCCACUACCUCCUAUAAAGUUGACUGCUUUGAGUAUUCCAACUGAUGGGACAAAUCCAAUGCAGAAUGUAGAAAAGACAUUUCAACUGACACGAGCAGACAGAGAUAUGGUACAGAAACCCGAAUAUGAUGUUCAGGCCUGGUGUAUGCUUCUCAAUGAUAAAGUUAUAUUUAGGAUGCAUUGGCCCCAAUUUUCAGAUCUGCAGGUCAAUGGUGUGCCAGUUCGGAGUAUCAAUAGACCGGGCUCUCAGUUGUUAGGAGCUAAUGGUCGUGAUGAUGGUCCUGCAAUUACGACAUGUACGAGGGAGGGGAUGAAUAAGAUCUCUUUGACAGGAUGUGAUGCUCGCAUUUUCUGCUUGGGGGUCAGAAUUGCAAAGCGCCGAACAGUUCAGCAGGUUCUCAACUUGAUACCAAAAGAGCUGGAUGGUGAGCGUUUUGAAGAUGCACAUGCCCGUGUUUGUCGUUGCAUAGGGGGUGGUAAUGAUGCGGAAAAUGCAGAUAGUGAUAGUGAUCUGGAAGUUGUUGCAGAUUCAGUUACUGUCAACUUGCGUUGUCCUAUGAGUGGUUCGAGAAUCAAGAUUGCUGGAAGGUUCAAACCUUGUAUUCACAUGGGCUGUUUUGACCUUGAAACUUUUGUAGAACUUAACCAAAGGUCUAGGAAGUGGCAGUGCCCCAUUUGCCUCAAAAACUACACCUUGGAGCAUAUGAUCAUUGACCCGUAUUUCAAUCGCAUCACAGCCAUGAUGGGUCGUUGUGGAGAAGAUGUAACAGAGAUAGAUGUCAGGCCAGAUGGUUCUUGGCGCGCGAAGAAUGACAGAGAGCAUUUGGAUCUUGCACAGUGGCACUUCCCUGAUGGUUCUCUUUGCAUUGAGACAGGCAAAAACAUUAAACCUGACUUGGAGAACUCAAAGCAGAUCAAACAUGAUGGACCUUUGGAAGGACAAAGCCCUUUUAAAUUAGGAAUCAAGAAGAAUUCAAACGGGACAUGGGAAGUUAAGAAACCUGAAUUGCUAACUCUCUCUCCUGAAAGUCAGCUAGAAGAGAAAUACGAUAUUAAUAGCGGAGGAGGCAUUCCUAGGAGCAGCAGUGGUACUGGAAGUGCUAGAGACGUUGAUGAUCGAAAUGCUAAUCGAGACGUUGGUGGGCAAUUUGAUUUCCUGGCCAACAAUGGCAAUGAGCUUGAUUCUGUUUCUCCUAACUUUGACUCGGCCUAUGAAGUUCCAUCUGCUCCUGUAGGAAAUGCAGAUAUCAUCAUUCUCAGUGACUCGGAUGAAGAGAUGGAAGAUCUUAUUUCUCAUGGAGCUGUCUUUGAAACAGGUCAGAGUAAUGCCUGUGGUACUUCUUUCUCUGUUCCUUCUCUUGGAGUUCCAGUCUCGUAUCCUGAAGAUCCAGGUCUUAUUACUGAGAGUGCUUUAGAUCUUCUAAAUAGUAACGGAGAUGAGUUCGAGAUGCCUCUUUGGCCAUCAGUGGCCUCUUGUACUCAUGCUGGCCCUGGGUUUCAAUUUUUUGGUACUGAGACAGAUGUCUCAGGUUCUUUAGAAGACGUUCAGCGAACUUCUAUUAAUUGUCCCACGUCCACUGAUGGUGGCUUCUCGUUGGCUCCAGAGACAACUUUAGGUUCUGCAGUACAAAUUUCAGAGUCCAUUUGUCAUUCAGACACCAAUGUCAAUUAUGUCUUGAUUGAUAAUUCCUUAACGACUGGCGAAGAUGACCCUUCUCUGCAAAUUUUCCUUCCUACUCAUCCAACUGCUUCAUCGGCACCGACUGAUGCGAGAGACCCACCUGUUUCGACAAACGGUAUACGCGAGGAAGACUGGAUAUCUCUUAGGGUUGGUGAUGGUGUUGGUCAUGAUCGGUCGGCAGCCACAAAUGGUUUGAUUGCAGGACACGAGUCUGUGUCUAAGGAGGCAUCGUUGCUUCCGAGUUCAAAUGACGAGAGGUCUGAUAGGACGACUACAAAUCAGCAGAAAUCUGCAAGCCCUUUCUCGUUUCCGCGUCAGGCCCGGUCAGUGCGACCAAGAUUAUACCUGUCCAUUGAUUCUGACUCAGAUUGAUGAUGAGUGAGCAUCAUGAUUUUACGUAUGAUACUGGGCAGAUUAGGUGUGGCUUGGUAUCUAGCUCCCUUUUUUAAUCUAACAUCAAAUGUGUCGAGAAAGUAUGUGCGGUUUAGGCAUUUACUGAUUAGGGGAAAGGAUACAAAAGAACACCUUGUUGUUGUCAGUAAAGGGAGAUACUGUUCUCAUCUGCUGCUGUGUAGGAUGUCAUCAGGGGGAUUGCGCGCUUGCUUUUUUCAUCGGAAUAAAAUAAAAACUUUUACAUUGUCAACAUCGUUUCCUGAGACAACCUCAGGCAUAACUAAACAGAGUGUCACUUUGGUCUCCCCACUCCCUCCUCUUUCUUUCAAGGAAAAAGAUCAUCUUAGAUAUUUGUACAUUAACUUUAGGUAAUAUAUCAACCUUGUGCUCCCUUGUGGAGGGAUUUCUGUCCUGAAAUUUUCGGAGGAUAACUUCAUUGUGUAUAUAACCCUAUAUAAGAAAGACCACAUUGGUUCCUAAAUCUUUCUACUAAAUUAAUAGAUGAUUGAAACACCUUUCUAA